CUUUAUACAAGUCUGAGUGUCUACUUGUGCACACCCAAAGUUGAUGAGCAUAAAUGUGAUUCGAAACCAAUUAAAAGGGCAUAUUUAUGUAUUAUGUCAAAAUAAUAACUUGAAUUCGAUUAUCUAAAAAAUUAAAAAGGCUAACUACGUAUUGAUAAGACAAUUAUACAAAUAAGGGUUGUGGUGGAGUGAUAAGUACGCCGUCAUCCUUAAUCAAAAGGUUUCUCAUUUGAUUUCCCUUGGGUACGAAAUUGCCUUUGUUAGGGAACGUUUUACCUCCCAAUAUGAAACUCUUUGGUGCAAAUUUAAAUUUAAUCGAUCUCUAACAUAAGUACGGAACAUCAGGUGAAAAACUAAAAGAAAAAACGAAUCCAAUUAUAAGUAAUAAGGCCGAAUUAUAAGUAAUAAGGCCGACUUAUACAGUUGUGUGCAUGGUCCAUAUAGGCCGAAAAAAAUGGCGUUUGUAUUCGUUGUCUAUGUGUGUUUAGAGUGUGUACAAUGUACAUGUCCUUGUCAAAAUUGUUCGUUUGGCGUUCUAUUUUAUCAACUAAUUAAAAAACGUGGCUUUUAAAUUACUUGUAUAUACUCAUUCAAAGUCCCCUUUCAUCUCCAAUAAAUAUCAAUUAUCAUUACUUCAUCCAAAAACCUUCCGAGUAAAUCUUGAUUAUCAAUUACACAAUAUAUACACAGCGAUAUCGAUUUGACGUAUAAAAAUCUCAGUUCAAUCCCAGAUUUUGUGUGUAGGUGAAGUUAAUUGAAAAAAAGUGAAGACUCUUUCGCUUUCCUCCUUUUCUCCUAUUAAGGAGGAUCAAGAAUUCGAGAAUAAGAAAUUACAACAGCUAACAAUAUUUUACAAUGGAAAAUUUGUGGAUACUCAUGUUACUGAGCUUCAGGCUAAAACUAUAAUAUAUCUUGCAAGUAGAGAAAUAGAGGAGAAAACAUACAAGAUGUCUGAGCCGUUAUUACAACCUCAAACUGUGAAGAAAUCUUUACAGGGAUUUCUACAAAAAA